rnacentral:misc_RNA from 1 species
AGCAGCCGCGGUAAUUCCAGCUCCAAUAGCGUAUAUUAAAGUUGCUGCAGUUAAAAAGCUCGUAGUUGAAUUUCGGGACUAAUAUGUCGGUCGUGCCUCGGUACGUACUGGCUUAUUGGUUUCUCCUUUCUGAAGAACCAUGAUGUCAUUUAUUUGGUGUCGUGGGGAAUCAGGACUGUUACUUUGAAAAAAUUAGAGUGUUUAAAGCAGGCUUACGCUUGAAUACAUUAGCAUGGAAUAAUGAAAUAGGACGUUUGAUUCUAUUUUGUUGGUUUCUAGGAUCGACGUAAUGAUUAAUAGGGAUAGUUGGGGGCAUUAGUAUUCAAUUGUCAGAGGUGAAAUUCUUGGAUUUAUUGAAGACUAACUACUGCGAAAGCAUUUGCCAAGGAUGUUUUCAUUAAUCAAGAACGAAAGUUAGGGGAUCGAAGACGAUCAGAUACCGUCGUAGUCUUAACCAUAAACUAUGCCGACUAGGGAUCGGAUGAUGUUAAUUUUUAAUGACUCAUU